rnacentral:tRNA from 1 species
GGAGUGGUGUCUGAGAGGUCGAAAGAGCUCGAUUGCUAAUCGAGUGUACAACUAUUUGUACCGAGGGUUCGAAUCCCUCCUGCUCCG